rnacentral:tRNA from 1 species
GCCUAGUUAGCUUAGUUGGUAGUGCGUCUGCCUUGUAAGCGCUAGGCCGCGGGUUCGAUUCCCGCCAGUGGCG